rnacentral:rRNA from 1 species
CCUACGUGAGGCAGCAGUGAGGAAUAUUGGUCAAUGGGCUUACGCCUGAACCAGCCAAGUCGCGUGAGGGAAGACUGCCCUAUGGGUUGUAAACCUCUUUUGUCAGGGAGCAACGCCGGCUACGUGUAGCCGGACUGAGAGUACCUGAAGAAAAAGCAUCGGCUAACUCCGUGCCAGCAGCCGCGGUAAUACGGAGGAUGCGAGCGUUAUCCGGAUUUAUUGGGUUUAAAGGGUGCGUAGGCGGAAUGCCAAGUCAGCGGUAAAAUCGCGGGGCUCAACCUCGCUCCGCCGUUGAAACUGGCGUUCUUGAGUGGGCGAGAAGUAUGCGGAAUGCGUGGUGUAGCGGUGAAAUGCAUAGAUAUCACGCAGAACUCCGAUUGCGAAGGCAGCAUACCGGCGCCCAACUGACGCUGAAGCACGAAAGCGUGGGUAUCGAACAGUAUUAGAUACCCCGGUAGUC